UACGGAAGGUCCGGGCGUUAUCCGGAUUUAUUGGGUUUAAAGGGUGCGUAGGCGGACUGUUAAGUCAGCGGUAAAAUGUCCGGGCUCAACCCGGGCCGGCCGUUGAAACUGGGGAUCUUGAGUGGGCGAGAAGUAUGCGGAAUGCGUGGUGUAGCGGUGAAAUGCAUAGAUAUCACGCAGAACUCCGAUUGCGAAGGCAGCUUACCGGCGCUCAACUGACGCUGAGGCACGAAAGUGCGGGUAUCGAAUAGG
rnacentral:rRNA from 1 species